rnacentral:rRNA from 1 species
AUUGAACGCUGGCGGCAGGCCUAACACAUGCGAGUCGAGCGGAUGAAGGGAGCUUGCUCCUGGAUUCAGCGGCGGACGGGUGAGUAAUGCCUAGGAAUCUGCCUGGUAGUGGGGGAUAACGUCCGGAAACGGGCGCUAAUACCGCAUACGUCCUGAGGGAGAAAGUGGGGGAUCUUCGGACCUCACGCUAUCAGAUGAGCCUAGGUCGGAUUAGCUAGUUGGUGGGGUAAAGGCCUACCAAGGCGACGAUCCGUAACUGGUCUGAGAGGAUGAUCAGUCACACUGGAACUGAGACACGGUCCAGACUCCUACGGGAGGCAGCAGUGGGGAAUAUCGGACAAUGGGCGAAAGCCUGAUCCAGCCAUGCCGCGUGUGUGAAGAAGGUCUUCGGAUUGUAAAGCACUUUAAGUUGGGAGGAAGGGCAGUAAGUUAAUACCUUGCUGUUUUGACGUUACCAACAGAAUAAGCACCGGCUAACUUCGU